rnacentral:rRNA from 1 species
UACGUAGGGACCGAGCGUUGUCCGGAAUCAUUGGGCGUAAAGAGCGUGUAGGCGGCUUGUUAAGUCUUGCGUGAAAUCUCGGGGCUCAACCCCGAGCGGUCGUGAGAAACUGGCAGGCUAGAGUGCGGGAGAGGAGAGUGGAAUUCCUGGUGUAGCGGUGAAAUGCGCAGAUAUCAGGAAGAACACCAGUGGCGAAGGCGGCUCUCUGGAACGCAACUGACGCUGAGACGCGAAAGCGUGGGGAGCAAACAGG